AAUUGGGCAAUCAAUCAGCGGUCGCAAGUCGUGACAACAACUUCGAUUAAACUAAACUUCCGUUUUUUCUUGCCAUUGCCAUAAAAGCCGUACCGAGGGGCGGGGAGAGGCAAACGCCGCCAAGUGUGGCACGCAUGCAACGUGUAAUGAAAUCUCCACACGCGCCAUCGUAUAAAUCACGCCAACGAGCUGCCAUUGUUAAAGCGGAAAUAGCCUUAAACCCAAGACGUUUGUCCCCGCGCCCCACCCCGUCAACCAAUCUUUGCUGCCAAUCGCUCAAAGUGUGUGUGUGUGUGUGUAUGUUUGCCAUAAAUUUGGAUCUAUUUAAAUGAGCAGCACAAAAAGUAAGAAGCCAAAUUCCAACACACACUCACACACACACAUACUGCGAGCAUAUGGCUGACAAAGAGUAGAGCUAAGUCCUCCACCUUGCCCCGCGCGUCUGCCCGGCUAACAAUGACAAAGUUGUAAAAAGCAAAGCAAAAAACAAAAUCGAGCAAAAAAAAAGAUGGAAUCAAAGCAGGCGUAGGCUACAAAUGCCAACAGCUUAUUGAUUCGAGUGCUAUUUUUUAUGUGCGCCCAUCGGAGUAUCCUUAUAAAGAAAAGGAUCGCAAGGGCAAAUCAAGCAAAUGGCUUCUCGACUUGACUCGUUGAUAGAUGUAAUAUCUGUUUGUUUAGAGCAGCCUUUUCCCUUAUUUGCAUUCGCUAAAAAUAACAAUAUUGAAAUUUAUUUAUUCCAUGAACUAAGCCAGAGACAGCAAAAAAUUUAAAGUAAAUAAUCCUUUUAUUAAUAAACCAGAUGCCUAGACAUCUCAGCAUCGCAAUUUCAGCUCUUUAGCCAUGGCCAUUCUCGACGGCUGAACGACAGGGAUACGAAGGGCUUAGCUAACGGUGUCAUAUUUCAGUCCGGCUUAGCUGGGGCUGCUAUGAAAUUUGAAUAGUUUCAAUGUGAACUCGACUUGAACGUUGCGACGAAUGCAAAUAAAUGACCAAACUAAAUGAAAUGAAA